rnacentral:rRNA from 1 species
AGAGUUUGAUCCUGGCUCAGGACGAACGCUGGCGGCGCGCCUAACACAUGCAAGUCGAACGAGCGAGAGAGAGCUUGCUUUCUCAAGCGAGUGGCGAACGGGUGAGUAACGCGUGAGGAACCUGCCUCAAAGAGGGGGACAACAGUUGGAAACGACUGCUAAUACCGCGUAAGCCCACAGCUCGGCAUCGAGCAGAGGGAAAAGGAGCAAUCCGCUUUGAGAUGGCCUCGCGUCCGAUUAGCUAGUUGGUGAGGUAAUGGCCCACCAAGGCGACAAUCGGUAGCCGGACUGAGAGGUUGAACGGCCACAUUGGGACUGAGACACGGCCCAGACUCCUACGGGAGGCAGCAGUGGGGAAUAUUGCACAAUGGGGGAAACCCUGAUGCAGCGACGCCGCGUGGAGGAAGAAGGUCUUCGGAUUGUAAACUCCUGUUGUUGAGGAAGAUAAUGACGGUACUCAACAAGGAAGUGACGGCUAACUACGUGCCAGCAGCCGCGGUAAAACGUAGGUCACAAGCGUUGUCCGGAAUUACCGGGUGUAAAGGGAGCGCAGGCGGGAAGACAAGUUGGAAGUGAAAUCUAUGGGCUCAACCCAUAAACUGCUUUCAAAACUGUUUUUCUUGAGUAGUGCAGAGGUAGGCGGAAUUCCCGGUGUAGCGGUGGAAUGCGUAGAUAUCGGGAGGAACACCAGUGGCGAAGGCGGGCUACUGGGCACCAACUGACGCUGAGGCUCGAAAGUGUGGGUAGCAAACAGGAUUAGAUACCCUGGUAGUCCACACCGUAAACGAUGAUUACUAGGUGUUGGAGGAUUGACCCCUUCAGUGCCGCAGUUAACACAAUAAGUAAUCCACCUGGGGAGUACGACCGCAAGGUUGAAACUCAAAGGAAUUGACGGGGGCCCGCACAAGCAGUGGAGUAUGUGGUUUAAUUCGACGCAACGCGAAGAACCUUACCAAGUCUUGACAUCCUGCGACGGACAUAGAAAUAUGUCUUUCCUUCGGGACGCAGAGACAGGUGGUGCAUGGUUGUCGUCAGCUCGUGUCGUGAGAUGUUGGGUUAAGUCCCGCAACGAGCGCAACCCUUACUGUCAGUUACUACGCAAGAGGACUCUGGCAGGACUGCCGUUGACAAAACGGAGGAAGGUGGGGAUGACGUCAAAUCAUCAUGCCCUUUAUGACUUGGGCUACACACGUACUACAAUGGCGUUAAACAAAGAGAAGCAAGACCGCGAGGUGGAGCAAAACUCAGAAACAACGUCCCAGUUCGGACUGCAGGCUGCAACUCGCCUGCACGAAGUCGGAAUUGCUAGUAAUCGUGGAUCAGCAUGCCACGGUGAAUACGUUCCCGGGCAUUGACACAGCGCCCGUCA